AGUUUUAAUAAUUUAAUAAAAAUAUUGGUCUUGUAAAUCAAAAAUAAGAAUAAAUUCUUUUAAAACUUC
rnacentral:tRNA from 1 species